rnacentral:rRNA from 1 species
CGAGGCCGACAGGCGUAGUCGAUGGACAACGGGUUGAUAUUCCCGUACCGGCGAAACAACGACCCUGCCGAGGCAGUCAAUGCUAAGCACGCAAGAGCCGGCGGCGGACUUCGGUCCAAGCCGGUUUGAGUCUGCGACCCACGACUGUAUUAGGCAAGCUGCGGAGGGACGCAGGAAGGUAGCCCAUCCCGGGCGAUGGUUGUCCCGGGGUAAGUGCGUAGGGCGAGGUGUAGGCAAAUCCGCACCUCACGUGCCUGAGACAUGAUGCCUUUUGGAGCUACGGCUCCUGAAGUGGGUGAUCCUAUGCUGCCUAGAAAAUCUUCGUGAGCGAGUUGUUAGCCGCCCGUACCCUAAACCGACACAGGUGGAUAGGUAGAGAAUACCAAGGCGAUCGAGAGAAUCGUGGUGAAGGAACUCGGCAAAAUACCCCCGUAACUUCGGGAUAAGGGGGACCUGACGUGUGACAGCAUUUACUGCUCGAGCACUGAGGGUCGCAGAGACCAGGCCCAAGCGACUGUUUACUAAAAACACAGGUCCGUGCCAAGUUGAAAGACGAUGUAUACGGACUGACUCCUGCCCGGUGCUGGAAGGUUAAGGGGAAGUGUUAGGGCAACCGAAGCACUGAACUUAAGCCCCAGUAAACGGCGGUGGUAACUAUAACCAUCCUAAGGUAGCGAAAUUCCUUGUCGGGUAAGUUCCGACCUGCACGAAUGGAGUAACGAUUUGGGCGCUGUCUCCACCACGAACUCGGCGAAAUUGCACUACGAGUAAAGAUGCUCGUUACGCGCAGCAGGACGGAAAGACCCCGGGACCUUUACUAUAGUUUGGUAUUGGUGUUCGGUACGACUUGUGUAGGAUAGGUGGGAGACUUUGAAGCAUGGACGCCAGUUCGUGUGGAGUCAACGUUGAAAUACCACUCUGGUCGUUCUGGAUAUCUAACCUAGGUCCAUUAUCUGGAUCAGGGACAGUGCCUGAUGGGUAGUUUGACUGGGGCGGUCGCCUCCCAAAAUGUAACGGAGGCGCCCAAAGGUUCCCUCAGCCUGGUUGGCAAUCAGGUUUUGAGUGUAAGUGCACAAGGGAGCUUGACUGUGAGAGGGACACCUCAAGCAGGGACGAAAGUCGGGACUAGUGAUCUGACGGUGGCACGUGGAAGCGCCGUCACUCAACGGAUAAAAGGUACCCCGGGGAUAACAGGCUGAUCUUGCCCGAGCGUCCAUAGCGACGGCAUGGUUUGGCACCUCGAUGUCGGCUCGUCGCAUCCUGGGGCUGGAGUCGGUCCCAAGGGUUGGGCUGUUCGCCCAUUAAAGCGGCACGCGAGCUGGGUUUAGAACGUCGUGAGACAGUUCGGUCCCUAUCCGCUGCGCGCGUAGGAAUCUUGAGAGAGGCUGUCCUUAGUACGAGAGGACCGGGACGGACAAACCUCUGGUGUGCCAGUUGUUCUGCCAAGAGCACGGCUGGUUGGCUACGUUUGGAAGUGAUAACCGCUGAAAGCAUCUAAGCGGGAAGCACGUCUCAAGAUGAGGGUUCCCACAGAGUUAAUCUGGUAAGGCCCCCGGAAGACCACCGGGUUGAUAGGUCGGAUGUGGAAGUGCAGCAAUGCAUGGAGCUGACCGAUACUAAUAGGCCGAGGGCUUGUUUC